AAGAGAGGUCUAGGACAAAGAGAACUGCUAAUUCUCUCACUCAUGGUUCAAAUCCAUGGCUCACUUG
rnacentral:tRNA from 1 species